ACAUCGGUGGCAUAGUGGUUAGUGCAGUUUGCCGGAAACAGAACGACGCGGGUUCAAUUUCCGUCCGAUGUC
rnacentral:tRNA from 1 species